rnacentral:lncRNA from 1 species
UGGCCUGAAGAGUGGCUGGUUGCUGCAACAGAGUGCUAUAUUGAAGUUCUGGAAUAAGAAUUGGUUUGACCUGUGGUCAGAUGGUACCUGACCUAUUAUGAUGACCAGACUUGGCAGAGUGUUGAGGAUAAGGUCCGCAUGCAAGUGGAAUGCCUCAAUAUCCCUGCCAGGCAGGAAUGUCGGGAUAGUCAGCCUCUGCAUGGAAAGUCAAAAGACUAAGACUGCAUGCUGCAGAUUGUUUGCUCAGAUGGGAAAACAAUUAGUCUUUGUGCAGAAAACAGCUAUGAGCCAUACAGUGGUGUGUGCCUGCCAGGAACUCAAAUUGUCUAUGCUGCUAAUGGACAGGCGUAUGCUGUGCCCUACCAGUACUCGUAUGCAGGACUUUAUGGACAGCAGCCUGCUAACCAAGUCAUCAUUCAAGAGUGAUAUCGAGACAAUGACAGUGACCUGGCAGUGGGCAUGUUGGCAGGAGUGGCCAUAGUCAUGCCC